rnacentral:tRNA from 1 species
GCCUGGGUGGCUCAGUCGGUUGAGCCUCUGACUUCUACUCAGGCCAUUAUCUCACGGUUCGUGAGUUCGAGCCUCGUGUCAGGCU